rnacentral:rRNA from 1 species
UACGGAGGGUGCAAGCGUUACUCGGAAUCACUGGGCGUAAAGAGCGCGUAGGCGGCCUGCUAAGUCUGGAGUGAAAGGUACCGGCUCAACCGGUACAGGCUCUGGAAACUGGCGGGCUAGAGAGCAGGAGAGGGCGGUGGAACUCCAUGUGUAGCGGUAAAAUGCGUAGAUAUAUGGAAGAACACCAGUGGCGAAGGCGGCCGCCUGGCCUGUUACUGACGCUGAGGCACGAAAGCGUGGGGAGCAAAUAGG